GGUGAAGCUGGCGGCAGCCAUUUUGAGAAAGGGCACGGCAAGUUCAGAGCGGCGGUGUGGCGCUGAGGAGCGGGUGAAGCCGUCGAGGAGCCGUGUUGGAUGUGAGAACGCUGCCGGGCGGAAGCGGCGUGUUUGCACCGCGGCUGGACGGAGCUUCUGACGUUCUAAACUCUUCUAAUUCGGUAAUUGGCAAAUGCUUCAUUUACGUAUAUUGCGCACGUGCAGGGAAGUCGUGAGUCCUUGAAAUUAAGGGAUCCAAUAUUCGUGUAAAAAAAUACCGUGGAGGCAGGGCGAUGGCAAAUGUAUUUGUCAGAACUCGGGGAACGCCGUGGUGCUGGCAGACGCUGCUUCAGCUCGGUCGGUGGCUUUUCCCUGUAGCACAAACAGGGCGAGUAUACAAGCACUGUGAAAUGACAUCGUACCUCGAUUCGGGCGCCUGCUGCGAUGCCGUUGGACAAAGGGCGCUCGGUGCUGUGAGUGCUGCGGCAGCUCGGUCACACCGUGGGCAUCAGCUGGGAAUUGCACACAGCCUGUUGAGCACAAGGGGCACGUGGAAAUCGCCAGAUGAAAGCACGUGGCUGAAAUUCAGCAGGAGGAGAACUUACACGGGUAGCAGGCAACAAGGAUGAGGGUAAAAUCAAGAUGUAAGGAAUGCUUGAGUCCUUUUGGAGUUCUGUACGGCAGACCCGACCGAUUUCAGUUUAAAGGGGAAGCUCUGAGUCCAUGAGAGAGGACAGGGUAACACAUCUACAGGACGCUCUCCUGCUGUGUCAUGAGGAUCAGAGCCAACCCCAUUGCUGUGUGAACUCUUCAAUGCACAGAGGUCACAGCAGAGUGAGUCUGCCUGCAUCAGCAGAAGAGCUGCCUUCAUGGAGGUGCAGAUGCAGCCGGCCGUUGUGGAAUUCAUCUUGAACCACUCAGAUGUUCUCUUCCACUCCAAAUCCAGCCCGUUCUUUGGAGAUGGAGCAGGACACAGUUCUUAAUUGUGGCCCGAGUCCCUGUGGGUUUCUUUUCCUCCCACAAAGCUGCUCACCCUGGAGGAGGCACAGGCACAGACACGAGGCCACAGCAGCUCUCCCGUUGUGCCAGACAGCAGAGACAGUGGAGUGGAAGAGGGCCCCGCACCUUUACAGGGGAAAUUGCACACAGUCAUUGACUUUCCAUCUGUAUGGGAACUGCUGGGUCACGGCCUGAACCUCUGAUUAAUCACCUGAGGCUAGCCAUGAGUCAGCCAGAGGA